rnacentral:rRNA from 1 species
CCCUUAGAUGUUCUGGGCCGCACGCGCGCUACACUGACUGGUGCAACAAGUGUCUGACCUUGGCUCGAGAGGCCUGGGCAACCUUUGAACGCCAGUCGUGCUGGGGAUAGAUUCUUGCAAUUAUUAAUCUUCAACGAGGAAUUCCUAGUAAACGCAAGUCAUCAGCUUGCAUUGAUUACGUCCCUGCCCUUUGUACACACCGCCCGUCGCACCUACCGAUUGAAUGGUCCGGUGAAAUUCUCGGACGACGCCAGGGAAUGUUAAUUCGGCCCCUGAUGUUGAAAGUUAAUUAAACCUUACCAUUUAGAGGAAGGUGAAGUCGUAACA